AACGAACGCUGGCGGCAGGCCUAACACAUGCAAGUCGAGCGGACCCUCCGGGGUUAGCGGCGGACGGGUGAGUAACGCGUGGGAAUAUGCCCUUCUCCACGGAAUAGUCUCGGGAAACUGGGGGUAAUACCGUAUACGCCCUUUGGGGGAAAGAUUUAUCGGAGAAGGAUUAGCCCGCGUUGGAUUAGGUAGUUGGUGGGGUAAUGGCCUACCAAGCCGACGAUCCAUAGCUGGUUUGAGAGGAUGAUCAG
rnacentral:rRNA from 1 species